GACGAACGCUGGCGGCGUGCUUAACACAUGCAAGUCGAACGGAAAGGCCCCCUUGUGGGGUACUCGAGUGGCGAACGGGUGAGUAACACGUGAGUAACCUACCCUUGACUUUGGGAUAACUUCAGGAAACUGGGGCUAAUACCGGAUAGGAGCUCCUGCUGCAUGGUGGGGGUUGGAAAGUUUCGGCGGUUGGGGAUGGACUCGCGGCUUAUCAGCUUGUUGGUGGGGUAGUGGCUCACCAAGGCUUUGACGGGUAGCCGGCCUGAGAGGGUGACCGGCCACAUUGGGACUGAGAUACGGCCCAGACUCCUACGAGAGGCAGCAGUGGGGAAUAUUGCACAAUGGGCGGAAGCCUGAUGCAGCAACGCCGCGUGCGGGAUGACGGCCUUCGGGUUGUAAACCGCUUUCGCCUGUGACGAAGCGUGAGUGACGGUAAUGGGUAAAGAAGCACCGGCUAACUACGUG
rnacentral:rRNA from 1 species